rnacentral:piRNA from 1 species
UAACUAUAGCAAUGAACCAAAUUAUUCAAUU